rnacentral:tRNA from 1 species
GCCGCUGUGGCGGAAUAGGCAGACGCAAGGGACUUAAAAUCCCACGGUGGCAACACCGUACCGGUUCAAGUCCGGUCAGCGGCACCA